rnacentral:sRNA from 1 species
GCCGGGCGCGGUGGCCCACGCCUGUAAUCCCAGCAUUUUGGGAGGCCGAGACGGGUGGAUUGCUUGAGGUCAGGAGUUCGAGACCAACCUGACCAACAUAGCGAAAACCCGUCUCUA